GCUGUGGCCAGUGGUUAAGGCGAUGGACUGAAAUUCCCUUGGGGUCCCUCGCGUAAGUUCAAAACCUACCGGCUGCG